CACCAGACUCCUACGGGAGGCAGCAGUGGGGAAUAUUGCACAAUGGGGGAAACCCUGAUGCAGCGACGCCGCGUGAGCGAUGAAGUAUUUCGGUAUGUAAAGCUCUAUCAGCAGGGAAGAAGAUGACGGUACCUGACUAAGAAGCCCCGGCUAACUACGUGCCAGCAGCCGCGGUAAUACGUAGGGGGCAAGCGUUAUCCGGAUUUACUGGGUGUAAAGGGAGCGUAGACGGCGAUGCAAGCCAGAUGUGAAAGCCCGGGGCUCAACCCCGGGACUGCAUUUGGAACUGUGUGGCUGGAGUGUCGGAGAGGCAGGCGGAAUUCCUAGUGUAGCGGUGAAAUGCGUAGAUAUUAGGAGGAACACCAGUGGCGAAGGCGGCCUGCUGGACGAUGACUGACGUUGAGGCUCGAAAGCGUGGGGAGCAAACAGGAUUAGAUACCCUCGUAA
rnacentral:rRNA from 1 species